AGAGUUUGAUCCUGGCUCAGAUUGAACGCUGGCGGCAGGCCUAACACAUGCAAGUCGAGCGGUAGAGAGAAGCUUGCUUCUCUUGAGAGCGGCGGACGGGUGAGUAAUGCCUAGGAAUCUGCCUGGUAGUGGGGGAUAACGUUCGGAAACGGACGCUAAUACCGCAUACGUCCUACGGGAGAAAGCAGGGGACCUUCGGGCCUUGCGCUAUCAGAUGAGCCUAGGUCGGAUUAGCUAGUUGGUGAGGUAAUGGCUCACCAAGGCGACGAUCCGUAACUGGUCUGAGAGGAUGAUCAGUCACACUGGAACUGAGACACGGUCCAGACUCCUACGGGAGGCAGCAGUGGGGAAUAUUGGACAAUGGGCGAAAGCCUGAUCCAGCCAUGCCGCGUGUGUGAAGAAGGUCUUCGGAUUGUAAAGCACUUUAAGUUGGGAGGAAGGGCAGUAAAUUAAUACUUUGCUGUUUUGACGUUACCGACAGAAUAAGCACCGGCUAACUCUGUGCCAGCAGCCGCGGUAAUACAGAGGGUGCAAGCGUUAAUCGGAAUUACUGGGCGUAAAGCGCGCGUAGGUGGUUUGUUAAGUUGGAUGUGAAAUCCCCGGGCUCAACCUGGGAACUGCAUUCAAAACUGACUGACUAGAGUAUGGUAGAGGGUGGUGGAAUUUCCUGUGUAGCGGUGAAAUGCGUAGAUAUAGGAAGGAACACCAGUGGCGAAGGCGACCACCUGGACUAAUACUGACACUGAGGUGCGAAAGCGUGGGGAGCAAACAGGGUUAGAUACCCUGGUAGUCCACGCCGUAAACGAUGUCAACUAGCCGUUGGAAGCCUUGAGCUUUUAGUGGCGCAGCUAACGCAUUAAGUUGACCGCCUGGGGAGUACGGCCGCAAGGUUAAAACUCAAAUGAAUUGACGGGGGCCCGCACAAGCGGUGGAGCAUGUGGUUUAAUUCGAAGCAACGCGAAGAACCUUACCAGGCCUUGACAUCCAAUGAACUUUCUAGAGAUAGAUUGGUGCCUUCGGGAACAUUGAGACAGGUGCUGCAUGGCUGUCGUCAGCUCGUGUCGUGAGAUGUUGGGUUAAGUCCCGUAACGAGCGCAACCCUUGUCCUUAGUUACCAGCACGUAAUGGUGGGCACUCUAAGGAGACUGCCGGUGACAAACCGGAGGAAGGUGGGGAUGACGUCAAGUCAUCAUGGCCCUUACGGCCUGGGCUACACACGUGCUACAAUGGUCGGUACAGAGGGUUGCCAAGCCGCGAGGUGGAGCUAAUCCCACAAAACCGAUCGUAGUCCGGAUCGCAGUCUGCAACUCGACUGCGUGAAGUCGGAAUCGCUAGUAAUCGAGAAUCAGAAUGUCGCGGUGAAUACGUUCCCGGGCC
rnacentral:rRNA from 1 species